AGUGAACGCUGGCGGUAGGCCUAACACAUGCAAGUCGAACGGCAGCCCAGUAAGAGCUUGCUCUUCCGGGUGGCGAGUGGCGGCCGGGUGAGGAAUACAUCGGAAUCUACUUUUUCGUGGGGGAUAACGUAGGGAAACUUACGCUAAUACCGCAUACGCCCUACGGUUGAAAGCAGGGGAUCUUCGGACCUUGCGCGAUUGAAUGAGCCGAUGUCGGAUUAGCUAGUUGGCGGGGUAAAGGCCCACCAAGGCGACGAUCCGUAGCUGGUCUGAGAGGAUGAUCAGCCACACUGGAACUGAGACACGGUCCAGACUCCUACGGGAGGCAGCAGUGGGGAAUAUUGGACAAUGGGCGCAAGCCUGAUCCAGCCAUACCGCGUGGGUGAAGAAGGCCUUCGGGUUGUAAAGCCCUUUUGUUGGGAAAGAAAAGCAGCAGGUUAAUACCCCGCUGUUCUGACGGUACCCAAAGAAUAAGCACCGGCUAACUUCGUG
rnacentral:rRNA from 1 species